rnacentral:tmRNA from 1 species
GGGGCCGACUGGUUUUGACAGCGGGUCUUAUUGUAUUGUAAGCAUGCCGAGCGCCGGGACACAGCUCGUAAAUAUCAUGUUUCAAACUUUUUUAAACGGCGAGAAUAACUACGCCCUAGCUGCAUAAUCUGAAUUAUAGUAGGAUAUGCCUCGGCCCGUAAGACGGGCAAGCAGGAAGUCACUCAAAGGCCUUGGUUUACGGCGUUUGGUUUAGUGACUUCGUAGAAGUAAACCUAGCUUGUGCAGGGCUUUGAUGCACUUGCGAAACUUAAGCGAAGAUAAGGGGUGCGUUGGUAGUUUUCGACCGGCAAGCCCACGAAAAUCCAAAUGAAAACUAAGCAUGUAGAAAGCAGUAUAAUUGCGCGUUUGGACGGGAGUUCGAAUCUCCCCGGCUCCACAA